rnacentral:misc_RNA from 1 species
GUCGGCGUUCAUAGCCAAUAGAAACACUUACCCAGUAACCAUGGAAGAGAUAUCCUGUUCAUAAUCCGUCGAAAAUAAUAAUAAUAAUGAAAGUACAGAGAAGAGAUACCUUUAUCCUAUCUCUUGAAUGUCCCACACGAAAUCAGAGGUAGAAAUCAUCAUGCACAAAAGAAAUGAAUCNNNNNNNNNNNNGCAUGGCACCACUCAAAAAAAAAAAAAAAAGAAAGUAAAUCAUAACUCUUAUCGUCCGAAA